rnacentral:rRNA from 1 species
UACGUAGGUGGCAAGCGUUGUCCGGAAUUAUUGGGCGUAAAGCGCGCGCAGGCGGUCCUUUAAGUCUGAUGUGAAAGCCCACGGCUCAACCGUGGAGGGUCAUUGGAAACUGGGGGACUUGAGUACAGAAGAGAAGAGUGGAAUUCCACGUGUAGCGGUGAAAUGCGUAGAGAAUGUGGAGGAACACCAGUGGCGAAGGCG